rnacentral:rRNA from 1 species
GACGAACGCUGGCGGCGUGCUUAACACAUGCACGUCGAACGAGUGGCGAACGGGUGAGUAACGCGUAUCAACCUGCCCUUGGGAGGGGAAUACCAGUCGGAAACGUCUGCUAAUACCGCAUACUGAAUGGGGAGAUUGCGUCUGAUUGGCUAGUUGGGGGGGGAACGGCUCACCUAGGCGACGAUCCCUAGCUGGUCUGAGAGGAUGACCAGCCACACUGGAACUGAGACACGGUCCAGACUCCUACGGGAGGCAGCAGUGGGGAAUAUUGCACAAUGGGCGCAAGCCUGAUGCAGCCAUGCCGCGUGUGUGAAGAAGGCCUUCGGGUUGUAAAGCACUUUUGUCAGGGAAGCGGUACCUGAAGAAUAAGCACCGGCUAACUACGUGCCAGCAGCCGCGGUAAUUC